GGGUUGUGAGGUUAAGCGACUAAGCGUACACGGUGGAUGCCCUGGCAGUCAGAGGCGAUGAAGGGCGUGCUAAUCUGCGAUAAGCGCCGGUAAGGUGAUAUGAACCGUUAUAACCGGCGAUACCCGAAUGGGGAAACCCAGUGUGACUCGUCACACUAUCAUUAACUGAAUCCAUAGGUUAAUGAGGCGAACCGGGGGAACUGAAACAUCUAAGUACCCCGAGGAAAAGAAAUCAACCGAGAUUCCCCCAGUAGCGGCGAGCGAACGGGGAGGAGCCCAGAGCCUGAAUCAGCAUGUGUGUUAGUGGAAGCGUCUGGAAAGGCGCGCGAUACAGGGUGACAGCCCCGUACACAAAAGCGCAUGUGCUGUGAGCUCGAUGAGUAGGGCGGGACACGUGGUAUCCUGUCUGAAUAUGGGGGGACCAUCCUCCAAGGCUAAAUACUCCUGACUGACCGAUAGUGAACCAGUACCGUGAGGGAAAGGCGAAAAGAACCCCGGCGAGGGGAGUGAAAAAGAACCUGAAACCGUGUACGUACAAG
rnacentral:rRNA from 1 species